ACUCCAACAUCCUGACUCCAACAUCCUGCUCUCGCUGGAAGGAUUAACGUUGAAACACGUCCUCUCUCCGGUGUCUUUGUGUUCUUCCCUCGCUCGCUCUUGUUCUGGAUGAGAAGAGAGCGCGAGGCUCCACGGCAGCUCCACUCCCCAGACGUGGAAAUAACAAUGAAAGAUGUAGGUGACACAUUUCCUCUCACCAUGCUGCUGGAAGCACGACGGGAUCCUGGCCAGGACGAGAAAGAGUGAAAACUGGCUCGCAUGUGAACCUGUGAGAGAGUGACCCAAUAGAACCAAGUGGACGUUUCUGUGAAAAUAAUUCCCGCUGGCGAAGCCAAGGCUCCUGCAAAGAUAUCGCCACUUCAUCCAAUGCAGGCUGGGAUUAAGAUUUAAACCUCUUCCCUUUUUUUUUUCUACUUUUUUGUUCCAAGCAAGACCAAAACCAGAUGCCAAACUGACUGUGUCAAGAGAAAAGCAAAAAAAAAAAGUUUUUAACGGAACUACUGAUCUCGAAAUUAUCACAUAAUCAACCAGUCUCCUUAAUAACG